rnacentral:rRNA from 1 species
GGUAAUGCCGGAUGCUCCAUCACACUGCAUGGUGUGUUGGGAAAGCCUUUGCGGCAUGGGAUGGGGUCGCGUCCUAUCAGCUUGAUGGCGGGGUAACGGCCCACCAUGGCUUCGACGGGUAGCCGGCCUGAGAGGGCGACCGGCCACAUUGGGACUGAGAUACGGCCCAGACUCCUACGGGAGGCAGCAGUGGGGAAUAUUGCACAAUGGGCGCAAGCCUGAUGCAGCGACGCCGCGUGAGGGAUGGAGGCCUUCGGGUUGUAAACCUCUUUUGUUAGGGAGCAAGGCAUUUUGUGUUGAGUGUACCUUUCGAAUAAGCACCGGCUAACUACGUGCCAGCAGCCGCGGUAAUACGUAGGGUGCAAGCGUUAUCCGGAAUUAUUGGGCGUAAAGGGCUCGUAGGCGGUUCGUCGCGUCCGGUGUGAAAGUCCAUCGCUUAACGGUGGAUCCGCGCCGGGUACGGGCGGGCUUGAGUGCGGUAGGGGAGACUGGAAUUCCCGGUGUAACGGUGGAAUGUGUAGAUAUCGGAAAGAAA